GUCUACAGCCAUGCCACCCUGAACAAGCCCUAUCCCGUCUGAUCUCGGAAGCUAAGCAGGGUCGAGCCUGGUUAGUACUUGGAUGGGAGACCACCUAGGAAGACCAGGUGCUGUAGGCG
rnacentral:rRNA from 1 species